GAGAGACCGCUGGGCGGCGUGGAUUAGGCAUGCAAGUCGGACGGUAGGGCUUUAUCGUAAGAUAGAGUUUGAGAGUGGCGAACGGGUGAGUAACACGUAGGAAUCUACCCUUAAGACGGGGACAACCCAGGGAAACUUGGGCUAAAUACCGGAUGAGAGUGCGAGAGAUUGCAUUUAAAAGGAUGGCGAAAGUUGUCGCUUAGGGAUGAGCCUGCGGUCUAUUAGUUAGUUGGUGAGGUAAGAGCUCACCAAGGCGAUGAUAGAUAGGCGGCCUUAACGGGUGGUCGCCCACACUGGGAUUGAGAUACGGCCCAGACUCCUACGGGAGGCAGCAGUCGAGAAUAGUCUACAAUGGCCGGAAGGCUGAUAGUGCGACGCCGCGUGAACGAGGGAGCCCUUCGGGGUGUAAACCUCUUUCAGCAGGGAAGAAGCGAAAGUGACGGUACCUGCAGAAGAAGCACCGGCUAACUACGUG
rnacentral:rRNA from 1 species